CGAGGGGGGCAAGUGUUGUUCGGAAUCACUGGGCGUAAAGGGAGCGUAGGCGGAUGCUUAAGUUGGAUGUUUAAAACCGGGGCCCAACCUCGGAGCGGCAUCCAAAACUGGGCGUCUUGAAUGGAACAGAGGCUGGUGGAAUUGGGGGUGUAGCGGUGGAAUGCGUAGAGAUCCCCAAGAACACCAAUUGCGAAGGCAGCCAGCUGGGUUCACAUUGACGCUGAGGCUCGAAAGCAUGGGGAGCAAACAGGAUUAGAUACCCUGGUAGUCCAUGCCGUAAACGAUGAACACUAGGUUUUGGACUCGUCAACGGUCCGGAGCCGCAGCUAACGCGUUAAGUGUUCCGCCUGGGGAUACGGUCGCAAGACUG
rnacentral:rRNA from 1 species